UGCACAGCUUUUUCCGAGCUGACGGCAGCCAUUUUCUACACCUCGUCUCUGGGAAGAUUUGGAUUACCUGAGAAGAUUCUGUCAUCUUACAUUCACAAGAUAGGAUAUCGUAUAUUGUCUAUUUGUCAUUAUGGACAUAUAACAUAUUCAUGACAUUUACGCAGAAAAUUAUUGGCAAAAACGUAAGGUUAAGGGAGGACUUAGCAUGGCUUAAAAUUCGCUAGCUUAGCUACCUAGCCAGUUUAAACCCACACACAUUCAAAGUACACAUAACGUUACUCGGUCAAAUAAUCACCAAACUUACUAAAACCGCAGUGUUUUAAUUCACUGUGUGCUUCAUAAGUAUCUGUCUGUGUUGGGGUCACUUGAGGUCCUCACUAAGUUUGCUCAUGAACACAACCGUUAGCUAACGUUACUGUUGACGUAGCCUGCUAGCUAGCUAAGUAACGGCGCCAUUUUCUUAAGUUCACUGCUGACGAGUGCGUUUAGCUACUGUGUCAUCGUACAACUACACGGUAAAAUAUUGUUUAGAUGGUUGUAGACACACACACACACAACGCAGCGUUGGAUAUAACAGAUGAAAAGGUUAAGGCUUACCAAGGUUGUUGACUGCCAUGUUUUAAAGGAUUCUCUGGCAUGUUCUAAGUCUCUGGCGAAGGAUGUCUACCAUCAUAAAAGCUCUUUGUCUGAACCUGAAUGAUGAUGAUGAUGAUGAUGGAUUUCUUAUCAAGGAGUACAUGGACAUUCAUGGUGAAGACAUCUUGAGAGACCAGCACAGCACUGAAAUGGGCAUUUAUGUCAUCAGAAGAGGGUGGAGCUCUUGGAGAAUAUGAAGACGUUGACGCUGAUGGAAACGUUAUUGUAGGAAACAUCAAAUCAGUUGCACCAGACUGCAGUAAUGCUUGGAGUAAUCUAUGCACUGAAUAUGGCUCACCACAAUGGGCGGAAGUGCUGCUAUGAAUUUGUACAUUCCUCAUGCCAAAGGAUGGUGCAAAGCUCUCCCCUAAUAUUCUUGGUUUGGAGAACAAAAUCUCGGGAUAGUCCAAGUAGGCUGUCCAUUCUGGAAAUAUUUGGAACUUUUCACACUAGCUUCUACUUUGAUUGAAAAGCAAUGGACUUUUGAACAACGCUUAAGUCACAUGAAAUAAGAAUGGCUGUAUUUGUCAACAUCUCUUAAAAUUCAAUGACAUUUCAAUGGUUUUCUAUACAACAUGUCAAGAUCCUGGUCAUGUUUAAGAAUAAUAUGUCUUAAAAUGGCAUGCAGGUAAAUUUUAGAAUCUUUUUUGCUAACACUGUACAAAGUAGCCUUUUGCACAAUUUGAGCUCUAUAAAUUUUCACCUGAAAUCUGCAUAGUCUAACAAGCAAAAUAAGGUUGUGCUAACUACAGGCAGUGCUUUGACAAGAAGGUUGUACUCUGUAGGCACUAUUGAUGACAAUUGGAUAUUCUAUAAAGUCAUAUAACAUUAAUACUGUUAUUGUGCUGUUCUAUUUUAAAUAUCUGCUGUUGUAAAGUUGCACUUAAGGUUGGUGUUAUCAUUACAUAAUUACUGAAUGUAAGACUUAAUUAAUUGUGAUUAAAGGCACACACAUUUAGGUGAAUGUGUUUAUAAUGGCAAUGUUCUGUUUGAAGCUUAUUGUUGUAUGUAAAGUUGCAUUUUAGCUUGUGUUGCCUGCAAGACAAGCACUAAUUUAUUGAUACCUGUGCAAGUAUUUAGUCUAUUUUUUACUACUUUGCUUUAUUUUGUCUAUAGUCCUGUUUUAUUACUUAAUAUUCAGUGUUUUUCUAUAGUGGUAUAGCAAAUGUGUAUUUUAGUUGAUCCUA